rnacentral:rRNA from 1 species
UACGUAGGGGGCAAGCGUUGUCCGGAUUUAUUGGGCGUAAAGAGCGUGUAGGCGGCUGGGUAGGUCCGUUGUGAAAACUCGAGGCUCAACCUCGAGACGCCGAUGGAAACCCUCCAGCUAGAGUCCGGAAGAGGAGAGUGGAAUUCCUGGUGUAGCGGUGAAAUGCGCAGAUAUCUGGAAGAACACCAGUGGCGAAGGCGGCUCUCUGGGACGGUACUGACGCUGAGACGCGAAAGCGUGGGGAGCGAACAGG